UACGUAGGUGGCAAGCGUUGUCCGGAUUUACUGGGCGUAAAGAGCCCGCAGGCGGUCGUGCAAGUCGCGUGUGAAAGCCCCCGGCUCAACUGGGGAGGGUCACGCGAUACUGCUCGACUUGAAGGCAGGAGAGGGAAGUGGAAUUCCCGGUGUAGUGGUGAAAUGCGUAGAUAUCGGGAGGAACACCAGUGGCGAAGGCGACUUCCUGGCCUGUUCUUGACGCUGAGGCGCGAAAGCUAGGGUAGCAAACGGG
rnacentral:rRNA from 1 species